rnacentral:rRNA from 1 species
UACGUAGGGUGCAAGCGUUGUCCGGAAUUAUUGGGCGUAAAGAGCUCGUAGGCGGCUUGUCGCGUCUGCUGUGAAAUCCCAAGGCUUAACCUUGGGCCUGCAGUGGGUACGGGCAAGCUAGAGUGCGGUAGGGGAGAUUGGAAUUCCUGGUGUAGCGGUGGAAUGCGCAGAUAUCAGGAGGAACACCGAUGGCGAAGGCAGAUCUCUGGGCCGUAACUGACGCUGAGGAGCGAAAGCAUGGGGAGCGAACAGGAUUAGA